rnacentral:rRNA from 1 species
ACUGCUCAGUAACACGUGGCUAAUCUGCCCUUGGGACCGGAAUACCCCCGGGAAACUGGGGCUAAUUCUCGAUAGGUGAAGAACUCUGGAAUGAGUCUUUGCCAAAAAGACGUUUACGUUAUGCUCGUAGGCGUCGCCCAAGGAUGAGGCCGCGACCGAUCAGGUUGUUGGUGAGGUAAUGGCUCACCAAGCCUUUUACCGGUGCGGGCCGUGAGAGCGGGAGCCCGGAGAUGGGCACUGAGACAAGGGCCCAGGCCCUACGGGGCGCAGCAGUCGCGAAAACUUUGCAAUACACGAAAGUGUGACAGGGCUAUCCCGAGUGCCAUCCGCUGAGGAAGGCUUUUACCCAGUCUAGAACGCUGGGGGAAUAAGGAGAGGGCAAGUCUGGUGUCAGCCGCCGCGGUAAUACCAGCUCUCCGAGUGGUGUGGAUGUUUAUUGGGCCUAAAGCAUCCGUAGCUGGCUAAGUUAGUCCCUUGUUAAAUCCACCGAAUUAAUCGUUGGAUUGCGGGGGAUACUGCUUGGCUAGGGGACGAGAGAGGCAGACGGUAUUUCCGGGGUAGGGGUGAAAUCCUAUAAUCCCGGGAAGACCACCAGUGGCGAAGGCUGUCUGCUAGAACGCGCCCGACGGUGAGGGAUGAAAGCUGGGGGAGCGAACCGGAUUAGAUACCCGGGUAGUCCCAGCUGUAAACGAUGCAGGCUAGGUGUUUGGACGGCCACGUGCCGUUCUAGUGCCGCAGGGAAGCUGUUAAGCCUGCCGCCUGGGGAGUACGAUCGCAAGAUUGAAACUUAAAGGAAUUGGCGGGGGAGCAC